rnacentral:rRNA from 1 species
AGAGUUUGAUCCUGGCUCAGGAUGAACGCUGGCGGCGUGCCUAACACAUGCAAGUCGAGCGAUCUUCUUCGGAAGAGAGCGGCGGACGGGUGAGUAACGCGUGGGUAACCUGCCUCAUACACAUGGAUAACAUACCGAAAGGUAUGCUAAUACAAGAUGAUAUAAGAGAUUCGCAUGGAUUUCUUAUCAAAGCUCCGGCGGUAUGAGAUGGGCCCGCGUCUGAUUAGCUAGUUGGUAAGGUAACGGCUUACCAAGGCGACGAUCAGUAGCCGACCUGGGAGGGUGAUCGGCCACAUUGGAACUGAGACACGGUCCAAACUCCUACGGGAGGCAGCAGUGGGGAAUAUUGCACAAUGGGCGAAAGCCUGAUGCAGCAACGCCGCGUGAGCGAUGAAGGCCUUCGGGUCGUAAAGCUCUGUCCUCAAGGAAGAUAAUGACGGUACUUGAGGAGGAAGCCCCGGCUAACUACGUGCCAGCAGCCGCGGUAAUACGUAGGGGGCUAGCGUUAUCCGGAUUUACUGGGCGUAAAGGGUGCGUAGGUGGUUUCUUAAGUCAGGAGUGAAAGGCUACGGCUCAACCGUAGUAAGCUCUUGAAACUGGGGAACUUGAGUGCAGGAGAGGAAAGUGGAAUUCCUAGUGUAGCGGUGAAAUGCGUAGAUAUUAGGAGGAACACCAGUAGCGAAGGCGGCUUUCUGGACUGUAACUGACACUGAGGCACGAAAGCGUGGGGAGCAAACAGGAUUAGAUACCCUGGGUAGUCCACGCUGUAAACGAUGAGUACUAGGUGUCGGGGGUUACCCCCCUCGGUGCCGCAGCUAACGCAUUAAGUACUCCGCCUGGGGAGUACGCUCGCAAGAGUGAAACUCAAAUGAAUUGACGG